UUGAUGAGCUCUAUUAAACGCGGAGUUCAUCCGAACGCUGCUACGAACGCCACGAGAACCGGAACCAGGAGCGAGAGAGUGAUCAAGGCCCCACUCUCUGCUCUGGCGGACGGAUGGGUUCAUUCAAAGUUCACCGGAAAACUUCCACCGCCAUCGGCCAUCAUGUUUCGCAACAUCCGCCAUCACACAGCAGAGCGCACGGACGGACACGAACCGCCGUAUGGAUCCGCGCGACGGUGUCAUGCUGUGUGACGCAACCAUUCGAGUUUGAGAAAUAGCCCAGAACGGAUGAGAGACGUGUGCUGCUGUGCUGGGAUUGGCGUGCUGUUUUUUUGUUGUUGUUUGUUUGCCUCGCAGCACCAAAAUUUUAACCUACACCCCGCGCCCGAACGGAACAGACGUGCCUGCCUGUUGGGUGGUUAAAGUGUGUGUGCGUGUGUGUGAUAAACGUGACCUUUAAAAAGCAAGUGCUUCAACAUGUGAAGGACAUCAACUCCGGUGCGGAGUGUGGAACGAUCAUGCCGUAGUCAAUUCUUACGUUGAAGUGUCCUUCCAGAAGUUGGGUCAAAGUUCAGGACACACAAAAGUUCUUUCUCCCCGUUGGGAGGGCAAACCAUCAACGUUAUAAGAAGUGUUUGUGUGUGUGUGUGAGGGAGAGAAAAAUUAAACACAGUGUCAAAUUAUCCAUCAGACCCGGUUUUGGCUGCGUUUGCUUAAGCGGUGUUUGUUCACACACCCUUCUUGACUCCACUCCCCCCCUCCGACUGGAAGGUAGACGGGACAAUGUUUAUCUUUCUACUGUUUGCCUCGGACGGUUGCCGAAAUGUGUGCCAAAUAUUCUCCCAACGGUUGGUGGCCCGGCUCCGCAAGCAUCGGCGCAAACGGGAGGAGGGCAGCCCUUCCUCAACGUCAGUCCCUCCUUCGUCAGCACCACCACCACCAUCACCACGCUGGACUGCCUGCCUAAGGACGUGGAUCAAGUGUGUCUGUGCCGGGUCGUGUAGUGUCGCCGCCACCGCAACGACCACCUCGGAAGAGCAUACGCGCACAGGCGGCUGGGGCACGGUGGCCAAGCUGCUGUUCCACAAGCUCCUACACCAGGCGUGAUAGCAGCGGCGCACAAAACAUCCCGACUGGCCCAACCGCACCCUGCAAAUGGAGGCAACUUUUCAUAAAAGGCAGUGAUGAGGCUAUGUACGAUGGGGAUUGUUACCCCCACAGGAAGAGUAAAUUUGAUGCAGUUUGGCGCCCACAGCAUUAUAGGUAUGUUUAAAAUGACGGUUUUAAUUCGUUUAUUAUUUUCUUUCCCCUUAAUACUACGAGCUUUCCAAUAUGACUUCUUUUCUUUCACAUUCUUUCUUCUUGUCAUGCGGCUGCACGUUUUGGAUAGUGGAAAGGUGGACAAUUUGAAACUAGACACAACUCGUUACGCUACUUUUCCGCUUUUCUUUCCAUCAUCGUAGUAUGUACUACUGUGCUCAACUUCCUUGACUACUUCUAUGGCCAAACAAGCGAGGUGGAUUUAAAAAAAACCCCUGUGGUUGAAGUUUUAAAGUAUUGUAAGAACGCAUAAACGUUUUGUUCUUCGCUAGUAGCAAACAAAAACACACAAGUUAAAUAGAAUGUAUAAAAUGUAUGGCAGAGAGAAAGUGAUGAAUAAAGCGAUGCAAAAAUAAUGUUUCCAUUAGCAUAGUUAAA